GUAGGAGGCAAGCGUUGUCCGGAAUUAUUGGGCGUAAAGCGCGCGCAGGCGGUUCUUUAAGUCUGAUGUGAAAGCCCACGGGCUCAACCGUGGAGGGUCAUUGGAAACUGGAGAACCUGAGUACAGAAGAGGAAAGCGGAAUUCCACGUGUAGCGGUGAAAUGCGUAGAGAUGUGGAGGAACACCAGUGGCGAAGGCGGCUUUCUGGUCUGUAACUGACGCUGAGGCGCGAAAGCGUGGGGAGCAAACAGGAUUAGAUACCCUGGUAGUCCACGCCGUAAACGAUGAGUGCUAAGUGUUAGGGGGUUUCCGCCCCUUAGUGCUGCAGCUAACGCAUUAAGCACUCCGCCUGGGGAGUACGGCCGCAAGGCUG
rnacentral:rRNA from 1 species